rnacentral:rRNA from 1 species
AACGAACGCUGGCGGCAGGCUUAACACAUGCAAGUCGAACGCACCUUUCGGGGUGAGUGGCAGACGGGUGAGUAACGCGUGGGAAUCUACCCUUCUCUACGGGAUAGCUCCGGGAAACUGGAAUUAAUACCGUAUACGUCCUGAGGGAGAAAGAUUUAUCGGGGAAGGAUGAGCCCGCGUUGGAUUAGCUAGUUGGUGGGGUAAAGGCCUACCAAGGCGACGAUCCAUAGCUGGUCUAAGAGGAUGAUCAGCCACAUUGGGACUGAGACACGGCCCAAACUCCUACGGGAGGCAGCAGUGGGGAAUAUUGGACCAUGGGCGCAAGCCUGAUCCAGCCAUGCCGCGUGAGUGAUGAAGGCCCUAGGGUUGUAAAGCUCUUUCAGUGGGGACGAUAAUGACGGUACCCACAGAAGAAGCCCCGGCUAACUUCGUG